rnacentral:rRNA from 1 species
CAGCAGCCACGGUAAUACAGAGGGUGCGAGCGUUAAUCGGAUUUACUGGGCGUAAAGCGUGCGUAGGCGGCUUCUUAAGUCGGAUGUGAAAUCCCUGAGCUUAACUUAGGAAUUGCAUUCGAUACUGGGAAGCUAGAGUAUGGGAGAGGAUGGUAGAAUUCCAGGUGUAGCGGUGAAAUGCGUCGAGAUCUGGAGGAAUACCGAUGGCGAAGGCAGCCAUCUGGCCUAAUACUGACGCUGAGGUACGAAAGCAUGGGGAGCAAACAGGAUUAGACCCCCGUAGUCCCUGUCUCUUAUACAC